GUUCGAUAGAAUUCAAGGAUUGAAUUGAUAAAACAAUUUUACAUUUGGCGUAAAUUGAAUUGAAAAGCAUAAUUAUCCGCCGGAAGGCGGUGGAUCUGAAGGUGAGAAGUAAACGGGAAGAAGGAAGAUGGAGAACGAGAAUAGAGUGGAGAAGAAUAAUGGCAACGAGAUAAAGAGUUUGCUAGCGUUGAAAUCCAUAUUCUCUUUCAACGGAAAAAAGCGAAACGGUGACAGUGAAGGUGGCAAUGAUGCACCGGCUUACAACCCUUUACCUUUUCUAUCUUCACUCGCUAAUUCUGUUGUCUCUCGUUCUUGC
rnacentral:misc_RNA from 1 species